AGGUUGGAAGGGAAACAUGAUGAAUGACUGGGUUGAAAAAUGGCUUGGUACACACUAUAACAAGCUGCUCACUCCUGGCUAUACAGGGCCUCUCAGGGUCCUCUUAGUCCUGCAUCAAGAACACUGUAGGGGCUGGGGUCGUGGCUCAGAGGUAGAGCAUUUGCCUAGCAUGCAUGAGGCACUGGGUUCAAUCCUCAGCACCACAUAAAAAUAAAAUAAAGAUUUUUUUUUUAAAAAAAGAACACUGUAGCUACUUGAGGGAUUGGAAUCCUUGGGUGAGUCAAUGUUCUGGGAGAGUUUAGCCUCUUUGUGUAUUGAGUAAAGAUCCUUAAAGGUAGUUAGGUAAGAUUUCAUCAGUAUUACAGUUACCAAGACAGGAUUUGAGGGUUUAGGGAUGGAGAGGAAAAUAGAAUUGAGAAAGAGAUGAACCCAACUCACUGCAAUAGGGUUCCCUUAGAGGUAAGUGAAAGUUAUUUAGGGGAAUGCAAAACUUGACCAAAAAGAGUGAAAUGGGGAUAAUAAUGUGCUUUACAUUUUUGUUUUUCCAAAUAUAUGGCUUAACAUAUCCAUCUGCAGAGAGGAGAAAUUAGGAACACUGCAAUUAGAGUGGGAAAAAAAGCACAUUAAUAACUUUCAAAAUUGAUUCCUUUUAUGAUAGCCUCUCUGGCUCAUUUGCAUAGCAAUGUGCUUUCUGGUGUGUGGAAGGGCAGAGUCUGAAUCUCAGCUGUGAAUUAUACAUACCCACAAUGAAUCUCUUCUUUAUCACACUGCUUGAUCUUGGCACAUUUCAGGGCAUCUGUCAGAAACACAAGUGACACCCACCAUGUGUGCUUUGUCAGGAAAAAAGAUUGAGAACAAUUACUUUAAACAAUGAGCCUGUAGUUUGGAUAAUAAACAAAUGGAGAGGUCUUGGGGACAGAUGUGCACUAACUAAACCUGGGCUUU
rnacentral:lncRNA from 1 species